UACGUAGGGUGCAAGCGUUAAUCGGAAUUACUGGGCGUAAAGCGUGCGCAGGCGGUUGUGCAAGACCGAUGUGAAAUCCCCGGGCUUAACCUGGGAAUGGCAUUGGUGACUGCACGGCUAGAGUGUGUCAGAGGGGGGUAGAAUUCCACGUGUAGCAGUGAAAUGCGUAGAGAUGUGGAGGAAUACCGAUGGCGAAGGCAGCCCCUGGUCAAUACUGACGCUCAUGCACGAAAGCGUGGGGAGCAAACAGG
rnacentral:rRNA from 1 species